GGAGUUUGGGCCGUGUCUCAGUCCCAAUGUGGCCGUUCACCCUCUCAGGCCGGCUACUGAUCGUUGACUUGGUGGGCCGUUACCUCACCAACUAUCUAAUCAGACGCGGGUCCAUCUUACACCGAUAAAUCUUUUCACACAUGAUCAUGCGAUCUCGUGCGCUUAUGCGGUAUUAGCAGUCAUUUCUAACUGUUAUCCCCCUGUGUAAGGCAGGUUACCCACGCGUUACUCACCCGUCCGCCACUAAGAUAUUUCAAGAUUUGACGAAUCGCAUCAGCGAAAUAUCUUCGUUCGACUUGCAUGUAUUAAGCACGCCGCCAGCGUUCAUCCUGAGCCAUAAUCAAACUCU
rnacentral:rRNA from 1 species